AUUGCACCAGCCUGAUGAGCGCAGGGCAAGCCUUCUCAGCUACAUAAGUUUUUUUCUCAUGUCCAAUAUCAAUUUCCACAAGGUUAUGCUUGUAUAGCAUCUAUGCUUCCCAAACUUUGGAGAGAGUAGCAAUAAUGAAUUACCUUCUGUUAGAUGUCCCAGAAGAGACGCAAAGGCAUCCAACUCUCUGUUAUACUUUGCGGUGACUAACAUCAGUAUCGCCCCCGUAGCAGUCCCAAUCUUUUUACAUGCAUGUCGG